rnacentral:lncRNA from 1 species
GUAAGUCAAUGAAUCAGUCACAUCAUUUCAGCACACUGAAGAGUGGACCUAGCAGAAAAGAAUUCUGACAAGCUGAGCUUCAAGAACACCUGCAUAAGAACUCUGCUCACAAAUGAAAAUAAGAAAGAAGUCUGGGAAACUGCCAGCUCCUUGCAGAAAGACUGAAACGUGAUCGGCAGAGAAGGGUGUUGGUGUCGACAUUUGAGGAUGCAGUCAAGUCAAUGGAGUUCUGUUGUAGUGGUUGCUUCAGUGAACAUUCAACGCUGUCGGCCUUAACACCGAAGAUAGCAACCUAACCAUCACAUGAUGUUUCUCCCUCACCCUGCCAAGCUUUAUAAAAAGGUCACAAUCAACAUUCAUUGCUGUCGGUGGGUUUAACUAU